GGUUAAGCGACUAAGCGUACACGGUGGAUGCCCUGGCAGUCAGAGGCGAUGAAGGACGUGCUAAUCUGCGAAAAGCGUCGGUAAGGUGAUAUGAACCGUUAUAACCGGCGAUGUCCGAAUGGGGAAACCCAGUGCAAUUCGUUGCACUAUCGUUAACUGAAUACAUAGGUUAACGAGGCGAACCGGGGGAACUGAAACAUCUAAGUACCCCGAGGAAAAGAAAUCAACCGAGAUUCCCCCAGUAGCGGCGAGCGAACGGGGAGCAGCCCAGAGUCUGAAUCAGCUUGUGUGUUAGUGGAACGGUCUGGAAAGUCCGACGGUACAGGGUGAUAGUCCCGUACACCAAAAUGCACAGGCUGUGAACUCGAAGAGUAGGGCGGGACACGUGGUAUCCUGUCUGAAUAUGGGGGGACCAUCCUCCAAGGCUAAAUACUCCUGACUGACCGAUAGUGAACCAGUACCGUGAGGGAAAGGCGAAAAGAACCCCGGCGAGGGGAGUGAAAAAGAACCUGAAACCGUGUACGUACAAGCAGUGGGAGCACCUUCGGGUGUGACUGCGUACCUUUUGUAUAAUGGGUCAGCGACUUAUAUUCUGUAGCAAGGUUAACCGUAUAGGGGAGCCGCAGGGAAACCGAGUCUUAACUGGGCGUUAAGUUGCAGGGUAUAGACCCGAAACCCGGUGAUCUAGCCAUGGGCAGGUUGAAGGUUGGGUAACACUAACUGGAGGACCGAACCGACUAAUGUUGAAAAAUUAGCGGAUGACUUGUGGCUGGGGGUGAAAGGCCAAUCAAACCGGGAGAUAGCUGGUUCUCCCCGAAAGCUAUUUAGGUAGCGCCUCGUGAACUCAUCUUCGGGGGUAGAGCACUGUUUCGGCUAGGGGGUCAUCCCGACUUACCAACCCGAUGCAAACUACGAAUACCGAAGAAUGUUAUCACGGGAGACACACGGCGGGUGCUAACGUCCGUCGUGAAGAGGGAAACAACCCAGACCGCCAGCUAAGGUCCCAAAGUCAUGGUUAAGUGGGAAACGAUGUGGGAAGGCACAGACAGCCAGGAUGUUGGCUUAGAAGCAGCCAUCAUUUAAAGAAAGCGUAAUAGCUCACUGGUCGAGUCGGCCUGCGCGGAAGAUGUAACGGGGCUAAACCAUGCACCGAAGCUGCGGCAGCGACACUAUGUGUUGUUGGGUAGGGGAGCGUUCUGUAAGCCUGCGAAGGUGACCUGUGAGGGUUGCUGGAGGUAUCAGAAGUGCGAAUGCUGACAUAAGUAACGAUAAAGCGGGUGAAAAGCCCGCUCGCCGGAAGACCAAGGGUUCCUGUCCAACGUUAAUCGGGGCAGGGUGAGUCGACCCCUAAGGCGAGGCCGAAAGGCGUAGUCGAUGGGAAACAGGUUAAUAUUCCUGUACUUGGUGUUACUGCGAAGGGGGGACGGAGAAGGCUAUGUUAGCCGGGCGACGGUUGUCCCGGUUUAAGCAUGUAGGCUGAUUGUCCAGGCAAAUCCGGAUAAUCAAGGCUGAGGUGUGAUGACGAGGCACUACGGUGCUGAAGUAACAAAUGCCCUGCUUCCAGGAAAAGCCUCUAAGCAUCAGGUAACAUCAAAUCGUACCCCAAACCGACACAGGUGGUCAGGUAGAGAAUACCAAGGCGCUUGAGAGAACUCGGGUGAAGGAACUAGGCAAAAUGGUGCCGUAACUUCGGGAGAAGGCACGCUGGUGUGUAGGUGAAGUCCCUGCGGAUGGAGCUGAGACCAGUCGAAGAUACCAGCUGGCUGCAACUGUUUAUUAAAAACACAGCACUGUGCAAACACGAAAGUGGACGUAUACGGUGUGACGCCUGCCCGGUGCCGGAAGGUUAAUUGAUGGGGUUAUCCGUAAGGAGAAGCUCUUGAUCGAAGCCCCGGUAAACGGCGGCCGUAACUAUAACGGUCCUAAGGUAGCGAAAUUCCUUGUCGGGUAAGUUCCGACCUGCACGAAUGGCGUAAUGAUGGCCAGGCUGUCUCCACCCGAGACUCAGUGAAAUUGAACUCGCUGUGAAGAUGCAGUGUACCCGCGGCAAGACGGAAAGACCCCGUGAACCUUUACUAUAGCUUGACACUGAACAUUGAGCCUUGAUGUGUAGGAUAGGUGGGAGGCUUUGAAGCGUGGACGCCAGUCUGCGUGGAGCCAACCUUGAAAUACCACCCUUUAAUGUUUGAUGUUCUAACGUUGGCCCCUGACCGGGGUUGCGGACAGUGUCUGGUGGGUAGUUUGACUGGGGCGGUCUCCUCCCAAAGCGUAACGGAGGAGCACGAAGGUUAGCUAAUCCUGGUCGGACAUCAGGAGGUUAGUGCAAUGGCAUAAGCUAGCUUGACUGCGAGCGUGACGGCGCGAGCAGGUGCGAAAGCAGGUCAUAGUGAUCCGGUGGUUCUGAAUGGAAGGGCCAUCGCUCAACGGAUAAAAGGUACUCCGGGGAUAACAGGCUGAUACCGCCCAAGAGUUCAUAUCGACGGCGGUGUUUGGCACCUCGAUGUCGGCUCAUCACAUCCUGGGGCUGAAGUAGGUCCCAAGGGUAUGGCUGUUCGCCAUUUAAAGUGGUACGCGAGCUGGGUUUAGAACGUCGUGAGACAGUUCGGUCCCUAUCUGCCGUGGGCGCUGGAGAAUUGAGGGGGGCUGCUCCUAGUACGAGAGGACCGGAGUGGACGCAUCACUGGUGUUCGGGUUGUCAUGCCAAUGGCACUGCCCGGUAGCUAAAUGCGGAAGAGAUAAGUGCUGAAAGCAUCUAAGCACGAAACUUGCCCCGAGAUGAGUUCUCCCUGAGACUUUAAGUCUCCUGAAGGAACGUUGAAGACGACGACGUUGAUAGGCCGGGUGUGUAAGCGCAGCGAUGCGUUGAGCUAACCGGUACUAAUGAACCGUGAGGCUUAACCUU
rnacentral:rRNA from 1 species